GAUCUGGCUCAGGAUGAACGCUAGCGGCAGGCCUAACACAUGCAAGUCGAGGGGCAGCGGGGAUUGAGCUUGCUCAAUUUGCCGGCGACCGGCGCACGGGUGCGUAACGCGUAUGUAACCUACCCUGAACUGGGGAAUAACACUGAGAAAUCGGUACUAAUACCCCAUAAUACACUGGAAGGCAUCUUUUGGUGUUGAAAGCUCCGGCGGUUCAAGAUGGACAUGCGUUGUAUUAGCUAGUUGG
rnacentral:rRNA from 1 species